rnacentral:misc_RNA from 1 species
CAAAUGCAAGCAAACCCUUGCCAGGUGAGUUAAUUAUUGUGAAGAUUUAUAUAGACUCCUUAUGAUACUUUGCCAGGCCAAGUAUCAAACCAAUAACUUCUCUUAACUAUUUGAAAUGUUGUCUGGUGGUAGCAAAGCAUAGAGCUUCUCCUAGAACAAUAUGAGCUAGUAAUUUGAAUUUAAUUUCAUCUUUGUUAAUAUAUUAAUUCAAAUCUAAGACUACCAUCCAGUUAGAUUGUGAUUUAUUGCCCGUAGCAUGUGCUGAAUAAAAUAUUAAUGUCAACUUAAAGACGCAAGAAAUAAAUUUUGUCUAAGGUUGGACAUCAUUAUACUUCUCACAUUUAAAUUUCACAGAUUCUUGUUGCUACACCUGGG